UCAGAAUUAAAAACAGCUUUAUAAGCAAGAGAUGAGUCACAUUUCCCUUUUCCUUUCUGUCUGCUUAGUUUGUCUUCAGUGAAGUUAAUCAGUAAACUAUUAUACGGACUUCGUUCUAUAACAAAGUUCGUUCUUCGUUCGACAAAGAACAGGAGAUUAAUAGAAGCCAGAGGCGUUUGAACGGUUGUAACUUUAUCUGAGGCAGCGUGACGUGCUGCUUUUUUCCCCUGUGUUCAACAGGCAAGAAAAAUGCAGUUGCUCUGUUUUUUUUAGCGUGUUACUUAAGGAAACCAAGUAACCUGAUGCUAUCUGGACUUGUCAAAGCAUGCUCUACUGAGGACUAUUGUGUGCUGUUGGAGAGAUGCAAUCUUCUGUAGAUGGAUGGAAGUGACCUGGCUGGUUUCUACACCUCACAAUGGAAGCUGUCUGGCAAAGUCAUUCAUAGUAGUAACUGAAAAGGCCUCACUUAUUACUAGGAAGUGACCAUAAAUGGCUGAACGUAUGUGUCUUCUAUAUUAUAACUGAAUCUUCUUGUUACAGAGAUGUAGAUAUUAAUAUGUAUAAUGUCAUUAAUUGAAAUGGUAGAAAAAUGCACUGCAGUCUCUGUUUGGUCUUCCACAUCUAUCUACUGCAGGUAAACUAAAAGUCGUUAAUUUUUAUUCAUUUGGAAAAACUAUUGUUGUUGUCUGAUGUAGACUGUAUAUUAAAAUCAAAUCUCUUGGGAUCACUGAAGCAGAUGUGGGAAUAACUUUUUUUCUGUUUGUGUUUUAUCUGAUCAUGGCAUUGGGAGCGUUUGAUGUGGCAGAUCGCCAGUCCUCACACACCAGAAGAGCCCAGCCCAUCGACCUUCACACACCCACGUUCCUAACCCUGCUGUUGCUUGGCAACGCUGUGUUGCCAUGCCGACAGAACACACAUGCGGAAGUGUUUUUUUUUCGUGUCUAAUUGUCAGAGAGCGGGAAACGUUCCCAGCCUAGCCUUUUGAUCUACAGCAUGGCCCUGAAGGACUGAGCAUUGCAAAUGUGUGUGUAGCGCGUAAGUGUAAAAACAUGCAUGCUCUUUACACAUGACUUAAAGGUCUGCUCUACUCCACUGCAAUGCAAUGCAAUGCAUCAAUAAGCUCAUGAAACAAACACAACUAUGACACCUUACAUUGUCAGAUUAGGAUUUAGGCAACUUCUUUAUUUAGCUGGAAACUGAAGCAUGUGCACAGAAGUCAGUCAGCACGCCAGUACUUCUUCUUUCUCUAUAAACUUCCUGCUUGAAUUUCCUUUAAAUGUUUAAUUGUAGCCCUCAGUCUAAAACCAGUUCUGUAGAUGUUUCUAGUUUGGUGAGUGGCUCUUGGUAGCACAGUUUGGAUGCUGCUAAACAAACAAAUAAACAAAACUAUUUAUAAGACUAUUAUAUAACCAAUACAAAGCUUACAUGGCAUAUAGCUAGGCAUUCUCACUCAUUUUAGUGUUAGAAAUAGUUUUGACCCAUUAGGUUGUUUCUUUCCCCUGCUAAUUCAGACAAGGAAGAAUAUUCUGCUACUGCUAACCAUUGCUAAGAACUUGCUAAACAGUCUACAGUUUAUUGCUUAUAUGUUCUUAGCUAGCUGACACAUUUUGACAAUGUCUUAGCAAGUUAUCUUUCAUGUUUGCUAGGUAUUUCCAGACACUGGCUAGACAACAAGCUAACUGAUGAGCGCUGUACCAAUGGUUGUAUUUUCAAGUAUUCUUGUUUGAUAAUUAACCCUGAAGCAGCUUCACAGUUGAUUUUGAAAAAGAAAGGACAUUAGUCACCCUUCACUUACUACUAGUUGAACAGCCUAGAAUAUAUUACAUAUUUUUAGCUAAUAAAAAUGUGUAAGUAGGUUAUUUUCUUAUGUGAACGUUGGCUAAUUAUUAACAAACAUUAGCUAGAGAACAACUUAUCUGCCAAGUAGCUGUAGUUCAGGUCUGGUUAACUGGCAACAGGCAAGCAGCUUCACAGCCUUUUUUUUUUAAAUAUAGGACAUCCCUCACUAUUCUCUUACAAGUAGUUUUGCACCCUAAAAUAAAUAUAAUCUUAGCUAGCUAAUGAAUUUGUUAGCUAUCUCAAUAUGAAUGUAUGCUAGUUAUUCCCAACAUUUGCUGCAAGUACGCUUGCAACUGAUUGCUGUGGCAGUUGUUGCAGAUCAGGCCUUUGUUGUUUGCUAAUUCACAGUCAAACAAUUUCACAGCAGAUUCGAAAAAUGAAGGGCAUUCUUCAUCAUUCACUAACAGAUAAAAAGCUAGACAAACUAUCUCACAAUGUGCAAUUAAGUCAGUUUUCAACAUGAACAUUUGAUGAACAUAUUUCUAAACGUUAGCUAAAUAACAAGCUAGCUACCAGAUGUUGUGCCUGUGGCCUUAGUUUUUAGUCUAGUCUAAUUCAGCCAAAAAAAAAAUCUCCACAGCUUACUCUUUCCUUCACUUGCUACUAGCUUCACAGAAUUUUUACACAUAUUCUCAGCUCAAUAAUAAUUUUUGAAAUUUGUUAUCGUUACUGAAAUAUUAAGUUGUGUGAAGUCAUGUAAGUCGAUAAGUUAGUUGUUUCCAUUAGCAUUAGCUUACUGCAAGCUAGCUGUUGAGUGAGAGUGUAGAAAAUGCGUGUACAUGUCCGUCACUGAGGUAAUGGAUGAAUAGUUUAUUCAGGUCUUUCAAGUACCUUAUGCUGGUUAGUGAACUCUCACGCAAGCAAAACAAAGCAUUUCUAUUUUAAACACUUCUGUAGGGAGUCAUAUUAGACGCUGUAGAAGUAGCAACACCGAUGCGUUUCGUUUAAGCGAGCUGCACAGUAACAAUGACCUCUCUAAGAGUCCUCUUUAGACACUUUGUGAUUGUGAGUACUUUUCAAAACUUGCUUUACUUAUUACUUAUCACUUAUCAUCCCCCCCACCACACACACACACACACCCUCCUCCUCUCCUUUCCAUCACAUUGGAAAAAUAAACCCGGUUACAGUCAGACGCUUCAAAGCCCUGCAUGUUGCAGAUAAAGACAUCAAAGGGUUCUUUCAGAUGCAAAUUGGUGCGCUGCGCUCACGGGUUUGAAAGUAAACAUGUUUCAGCAUCAUCACAAUUAUUCAUCAGUGCAGUACUUUCACAAUGAGACAGAGGAUUAUGGGAGGAGAGGGAACAGCACUCACUGGCUGAAGUGGCUGGAUUCGUUUUGCAGCAAUGGAGAUGAUCCUGGAAAGUCCCAUUGACGCUUAUGCAAAAAUACUUUAGAAUACAUUAUACCACAGUGCUGAUUGGUCAAGAAAGUGCACUUGUUAAUGGGCAUGUUCUAAUAUAUUAGCAUUUCUAUGAAUAUAUUAUAUAUUUUUAGAUAUACACGAUAUGACUUGGCUCACUGAUAUUCAAUAACAUUACAUAAUAAUAAUUAUGUCCAGGAAUAAAUUAAAAACAGAUAUAAGAGGAAUAAAAUGGUUUGUGGUCAUUGGAAAAUAAUAAUCAUAGUACCUUGUCUUUGAUUAUUUUUCUAUAACAGCAGUGUUGUGUUUUAUUCCUUUAACGAUUGAUAGGUUAUUAAUCAUUGCUUAUGUGUUUAAGUAAGUCAAGUUGACAUUAUCCUUCAUUACAGAAAGAGAAACAAAACUAAAAGACUACUGCUACAUUAAGCCUCAGCGUACAGCACUGGCAUUUCUCUCAAGCGCAAGUUGGCACAUGGCGUAGCUGCUUAGGCAGCCUUUUUUUCUGCAAUGUGCUGGAGACCGUGGCAUCUGUCGCCUGUCUCAUAUGACAGGGUGGAGGACUCAUGGCCAGCCAGGCUCUCUGUAACUCAGCCCGACUGCAGGGGUAUCAACUGGUUUGCCCUUUUACCGUCCUCAUGUUGGCUCUGUUUCCUUGUUACCAUCACUAGCAGCUGAUGCUCUGGAGCUGGGUUGGGUGUGUAGGAAGGGUGCUGGUUGGGUGUAUUUUAAGAUUUAAGGUUUGUAUUUUUAGGACAGCUGUAGCCUACGAAAUUCAUCACAUUCCCAGGUGGAUGAAAAUAAACAAACAAAGCCUGGGUUACUGAAGGAAGCAGCUGCCGAGGAUGGGUAGACUCUUAAAGGCACACACUGGCCAACCCCUCUGUGCUGAUGACUCGUCAUAAAAAUGGCGGCUCCUUCUCCAGUGCAGGCUUCUUAUUAGAGCUGGAAUGGUUGUGUGGAUACUGUGCUGAAUGUUAACCUUCACAAGACUACAACAAUAUGAAGAUACAAUUAAUACAAUUUAUAAAACAUAAUCUAUAGUCUAAAUAAUGUGUCAAUAAUUGCAACUGUUUAUCAGCCUAAUGUGUAUUUUGUUCUAUUCACCGUAAAUAAAAAAAUGUUUCUAAGA